ACGCUUAUGCCACAUUGCCCUUUCCCUCUGCGUUUCCUGCAAUGUUUUUCCCAAGAGGCAAGGCAGGAAAAGAUAUGGGCACAAUGACAUUUCUGUUCCUCUCAACUUCCUCCCUGCUUUUCAGUUUAAAAUGUCAACUCCUGCUUUACUCAAAGAGGGGUGGAGACGCCAAGCAACAUGACCACUUUGUACGCUGGAAGCCACGGCUGGGCAGUGGGACGGACGCUGGAGGACUGCUGGUGCAGGUGGAGAUUAUUGUUAUUCUCCAUGCACGGCAGAUCCAGGGCCUGAGUGUCCUUUGUGACUGUGUGGAACAACAACAGAACCAUGAAGCCAGGGGAGGGUGAAGAGACCCCCCGUUUUCAUUUCUCUCCAGACCUCACAGGAUUUCAACUGGGCACUGUCAGCAUAGUAUAAGGUCAGGGGAGGAGCUGGGAUGGCAGGCCACUUCUGCCAAUAGGGAAAGUUACAGAACUGAUUGUCAAAAUUAAAAAAAAUGAGGAUGAUAUGUGCCUGGGACCAUGAAAAAAAAAACAUUAUAUCACAGAGGACACUAAAGCAUCCUCAGGCCCCAAGAAGGGGCCCACCCAGCAGUCAGAAUGUGCACAGCCCAAUUCAGACUGGCACAAUGAUGGGGUUAUGUGGGGCAUGCUGUAAAUUCUCAUCCCGGAAGACUCAAAGCACAGAGAGACAGACAGACGGCCUUCUCAAGUGUGUAAGGUUUUCCAGAAGCUUUUAUCUUCUACUCACAAAGAAAACUUCGUCAUACAGGGACUCUUCGGCACUACAAAAGGAAGAAGAGGCAAGGACGGAUUGACAGGGCCGUCCUAUGAAAAGGGAGAGAGGAAGCACGAAGUGAUUUUCAGUGAGGAGGAAGUUCAAGGUGUUGAUAAGACCCUGCAUCUAUUCUAACUUAACGGGACACAAUGGUGUUGGGCAUCAAGGACAAGAAGACAGCAUUGUCAGUGUGUCCUCAACACUGACAUUUGGGGUGUUCAAUGAGAGGAAAAACAGGACUGCUGCAAAGUGAAUGAACUGUCAGAAAGAAGGUGCUGGUUUAGGGCAGCAGGCAUGUCAGGUGAGAUGCACAGCACAAACAUUUCCUCUUUGGUCAGGCUAGUUUAUUUUUCUCUUAACUGAAUAUAUAUAAUCCUAGAAAGCUGAUUUCUUUAGUUGGGAGAAAUUGGAGCAUGAUCUUUGUGAAUAAACAAGCUAAAACAUUA